UGGGGGAUAUUGCACAAUGGGCGAAAGCCUGAUGCAGCGACGCCGCGCGGGGGAUGAAGGCCUUCGGGUUGUAAACUUCUUUUGCUCUGAACAAGGCAUGCCUUUGGGGUGUGUUGAGUGUAGGGGUUGAUUAGCGCCGGCUAACUACGUGCCAGCAGCCGCGGUAAUACGUAGGGCGCGAGCGUUGUCCGGAAUUAUUGGGCGUAAAGGGCUUGUAGGUGGCUGGUUGCGUCUGUCGUGAAAGCUCAUGGCUUAACUGUGGGUUUGCGGUGGGUACGGGCUGGCUUGAGUGCAGGAGGGGAGGCUGGAAGUCCUGGUGUAGCGGUGGAAUGCGCAGAUAUCAGGAGGAAUACCGGUGGCGAAGGCGGGUCUCUGGGCUGUUACUGACGCUGAGGAGCGAAAGCGUGGGGAGCGAACAGG
rnacentral:rRNA from 1 species